AUGCAUCUCUGACAGACCAGGAGCAGUUAAUAUCUGUUGCUAAGAUUUCCACUAUAGAUUCAAGAUAAGGAAUGUCCUCGUGCUUUCUGUCUGUCUGGUUGUGGCAGCCAAGAUUGAAUGGGGGAAUACAGGA
rnacentral:snoRNA from 1 species